AACAUGGAUGAGUAGAUGACAUGGAUGAAGUCACUCCAAAUAUCAACUCUCAUAAGGGGAAUUGCAAACAAAAUCUAGAAAGAAAAAAAGUAAAGGGGAAAAGAUCCUUAACGAAAGGACGCCGACAACGUCAAAACGCAAAACUUCGCCUCUAUUCCCCCCCCACCCCCGGGCUCAUCACUCACGUACGAGCUCCAAUUUAAAAAAAAGAAAAAUCCCCCUUUCAACUCAUCUUCACCCGGCCCCUAUCAAUAAUCAAAACAACAAUCCCCUCUCUUUAGCUCUUCGCUCACUUCCUCCACCGUCUUCCUUAUUUCUCUUUUUUUUUUUUGUUUUCUCUCGAUGCCCUAAUCACUCGUACUCGCCGGAAUUUCCCACGGCGCGUUGUCGCCGCCGGCGAUAUCCGUGGUACCAAACUUCCUAGUCUUUUUUUUUCUAUCUCUAGGGUUUUUUUGGGGUUUUGGAUUGGAAUCUGGAAUCGUAUUUGAAUUUUAUUGCGGAAGGAAAGAAUAACAACGACGACGUACAAGCACGGCGUCGAAGGAUCUGUUAGGGUUUUAAUCUUAUGGCUGGAGGUCGUAAAAAAGGAGGGAACAAAGCAAAAGUUAAGAAUUUAAGUUUGGGUGAUCUUGUUCUUGCCAAAGUCAAGGGUUUCCCCGCUUGGCCUGCCAAGAUUAGCCGGCCUGAAGAUUGGGAGCGAGAACCUGACCCUAAGAAAUAUUUUGUCCAAUUCUUUGGAACAGAAGAAAUAGCUUUUGUUGCCCCUGUUGAUAUUCAAGCUUUUACUAGUGAGACAAAGAGUAAAUUGUCUGCCAAGAGUCAAGUUGUUAAAACUAGGUACUUUGUCCAAGCAGUUAAGGAAAUUUGUGUGGCAUUCGAUGAAUUACAUAAAGAGAAGUCCAGUGAUUUGAGAGAUGAAACUGAUAAGUCAACACCUGGCUUUGAGGCUUCAUCUGCUGAUGGGGUUGAGGAUGGUGGUGCAGAGGCUGACUUAAAGAAUGGAAAAAGUGCAGUAGCACCUGGUGAAGAAACCACUAGUGUAGGAAAAGGUGAGAAUAAUAGCGAACAUAUAAAGCCAUUAAUUUCUGGCCAUGCAGAUGAUAGCUCAUCUCCACAUAUGUCUUCUGAGGGUAAUGAUAAAAUUUCUAAUGGUGAACAAGCUAAAAAGGAGGUGUUUUCUCCAGCAUCUUUAGACAAGCCUUCUCCUAUAAAGGAGGAAUUCUCUGAUGAUAAAAUUGCUGCAGCCAAUUGCACUAAGAAAUCAUUGAGGGAUGAUCAGAUGUCAAAGAAGAUGGCUCCUGGGUCAAAGAAAAGAACUGUGCAAGGGCAGAAAAGCAGCAGUUCAGCUGCAAGAACAAUGAGGGAUGAUAAAUCUAGUGGCUGUCUCGAUCUACCUGAUUCUGAGGAGCAACUGAAAGAUAGAGUAAAAGGCAAAGUAUCUAGUGGCUCUGUAAGAAAAUUCUUAUCAGAUACUUUCAAAUCAGAUUCUAAUUACAUUGGUGGUAAGAAGGCAAAGGAAUUGCUGAAAAGCAAAAGCAACUUGAAGGCUACUGAUAAUGUACUAGACGCUGCGGCCAAUCCAGAAGGUGAGACUACUGGCAAGAAAAAAAGGGGUGAACCUGGACUUGGAAAGCUAAACUUCGGAGCAGAUGAAGUUUUACAUCCUGCUAAAAAGUCAAAGGUUGUAGAUAUGAAAAAUGAGGCUUCCAAGGGAUCUAUUGUCAAAAAACCGGAAGGUAAUUCUCCAAGCUCUAAAAAUGUCAACAGCAAAGCUGCUAAACAUUCAGAGUCUAAAAAAUCCACAUCUCAUGUUUUAGCAUUGAGAGCUCCACUGUCCAUGAUUUCUGAUGUUUCUGGUGAUGAAGCUGUGCUGCCUGUAUCAAAGCGCCAUCGGCGGGCCCCGGAGGCAAUGUUUGGUUCAGGCUCUAGUAAUUCUGACAAUAAAAUUGGAAAAAAUCCUGUUGAAUUGAAGAAUUACAAUUCAAGUUCUAGUCAUGUGAAAAUUCCAGGUGCCCAAUUGUCCAGAAGGCGUAGGGCUGUUUGCCUUUUUGAUGAUGAUGAUGAAGAAGAUCCCAAAACUCCACUUCAUGGAGGAUCUAUCCGGGAUGUUAAAGUAACUUCUGUUGUUUCAGAUGCUUCAAAAAGCAGUGAUGUAAAUCAUUCAAGUGCUUCCAAUGCUCAACGUAGUGUUGAAGAAUCCAACCAACAUGAGAACAAUGGUCCUAAGGAGGCUUCUUCAAAAUUAAUGAAUGAUGUUGUGUCACCCAUUCGACCGCAAACUGUUGAAAGAAGGCCUACUCAUGCCUCCAUCACUCCUGAAAGAUCUGAAUCAGAACAAUUGUCUUCAAAGGAGGCCAAACCAGACUUGAUUUCCCUAAGGAAGUCUCCUCAUCUGGUUUCUGCCACAAAACAAGUAGAACAACACAGAACUACUAAAGCUGCUGCCAAGGUUUCUGGUAAUGGAACUCAGAAAAAGGCUCCAUCUGUCUUUGUUAAGGGAUUUGGUUUGACUUCUGAAGGUUUGAAGUCCUCUCAACAAAAUCAGGUUUUGAGUCAAAGAAAUAGACAAGCUUCUUCCGUAGAGAGACUGAAAUCUACUCCAAAAGCAAUUUCGCGAGGAAAUGACACCACUUUUGUCACUGAAACUUCAAUGGAAUUCGAUAUCUUUAGAGAAGAUAGAAGUGGUUCGUUGAUUGAUUCCAAAAAUUCAGAUUCUGCUAUGUCAAUGAAGCAUCUUAUUGCCGCUGCGCAAGCAAAAAGGAGACUAGCUCACUCUCAACAAUAUUGUCUGGGAAAUCCUAGUUCUUCUUUUCUGUCAAUGUCUGAGGCUCAGGGAGCGAGCCUCAAUCCUGCAGUUCAGCCUUUUCCCUCUGUGACCAACAAUGAAGUGCAGGGUGAUGGGCAGGGAUUUGCUCAUCGAACAAGUAUAACUUCUCCAUCAACCCUUGGUCACCUGUCAGGAUCCCAAAAUCAACAGGAUACUGAAGAGACCGAAGAAAGAAGAGCUAGUUCUGGGCACAUGGCAGCUGGAGGCUCUCUCAGUGGUGGUACCGAGGCAUCUGUUGCUCGAGAUGCUUUUGAAGGAAUGAUAGAGACUCUAUCGAGGACUAAGGAAAGUAUCGGACGUGCAACUCGCCUUGCUAUUGAUUGUGCCAAGUAUGGCAUUGCAAAUGAAGUUGUUGAACUUCUUAUUCGGAAGCUGGAAAGUGAGCCCAGUUUUCAUCGUAAAGUUGACCUGUUCUUUCUUGUUGAUUCAAUCACCCAGUGUUCGCAUAAUCAGAAAGGCAUCGCUGGUGCUUCAUAUAUCCCUACUGUUCAAACAGCAUUGCCCCGUCUCCUUGGUGCAGCUGCUCCACCUGGAGCAAGUGCUCGUGAAAAUCGUCGUCAAUGUCUCAAGGUUUUACGGUUGUGGCUUGAGAGGAAAAUUUUACCUGAAUCUAUUCUGCGGCGUUACAUGGAUGACAUUGGAGUUUCAAAUGAUGAUGCACUCUCAGGGUUUUCCCUAAGGCGCCCAUCUCGAGCUGAACGUGCUAUAGAUGAUCCUAUACGAGAAAUGGAAGGCAUGCUUGUGGACGAGUAUGGAAGUAAUGCUACAUUUCAGCUGCCUGGCCUCUUGUCUUCUAAUGCAUUUGACGAUGAUGAGGAAGAGCUUUCGGACAGUCCUUGCGGAGAAGCUGCUGACGCAUCACCUUUAGAAACAGCUCAGGCUUUAGUAGAGCUAGAAGCGUGUACAGUUACUCCAAGUGAUAGGCGUCAUUGCAUCUUAGAAGACGUGGAUGGUGAGCUUGAAAUGGAGGAUGUUUCUGCACACCAGAAGGAUGACCGGCCAUCAUUCACUAAUGAUAGUCUUGAAAAGGACAUGCAGCAGCAGGGCACUGAUAGGAUCAUGGAACCAGCUUCAAGUAGUCCCAACGGAUUCCCUCCUUUACCCGAGGGUUCCCCGCCAUUACCCCCAGAUUCUCCUCCACCACCACCACCUUUGCCACCUUCACCACCUCCGCCCCCACCUCCAUCAUCUCCUUCGCCGCCUCCUCCUCCACCACCUCUACCAACACAACUACCUCCUCCCCUUGCGCCGCCUGCAUGCCCUCCUCCAGCUUUCGUGCCCCAACCACCAUUGCCCACUCAACCUAUGCUACCUCCUCAGUCAUCAAUGCAGUCUUCACCUCAGCUGGCAUAUCAAGCACCCGUACCUCAUGACUAUCGGGGCACGCCAAAUGGUAAUCAGAUGGUUCAAAUUAGUGGAAGUGCUCCUCAUGGGGGUCACAUAGAUGCUGCUGUGAAAAAUGAAUUGUUUCUGCAGCAAUCCCCUUGCUUUCCUACAGGAACCCGAAAUUCCCGAGAGGCUUCUGGAUACAAUUCUUCAAGGCAAUUAGAAUAUGGGCAUAAUGAAAUGUAUUUAAAUGCCCCAUCCUCUCAACCAAGUCAACAGUUUCAACCUGGUAAUACAGCUUUUGUGCAAAGGCCUUUACCCCCUAGCCUGCCGCAAACUUCGUCUAGCCAUUUCUCAUUCACAAAGCCUUCAAUGCCACCGCAUCCUCAGCAUUCAUACCCUCCACAAUACUCAUUGCCAUCGCAACAUGAUGGCCGCAGGCCAUUUGUUUCUGAUGAACAGUGGAGAAUGCCUGCAGGAGAAUAUAUAGCAGGAAGAAAUCCACCAUCUGCUGGUCCAUUGUUUGUCCAAGAAGCUUACUUUAGACCACCUGGUGAAAGACCGCCUUCAAAUAAUAUGGCUUUUCCGAUUGCUUCCACCAAUACUUUACCAGCUGGAGCUCCAAAUUCGGGUCAUGGUGUUUCACCCAUGUUGCCGUGUCGACCAGAUGUGUCUACCAUUAAUUGUUGGAGACCAGCUCGAGAAUAAGGAAAUAGUCUUAUUAGUUGGCUGCUAGACAAGUUACAUUAAAGGGCGGUUCAAUUUUUGGACAACAUACAAUAUUCACGUGAAGGCUGUGUUGAUAACUUGUGGAGACCCUUGGCAGGAUUGUAUAUUGUAAUUUUUCCUGACAAAUGUUUCCUGGGAACAUUUGCUUCCGAGUGUAGGCCCAUAAUUCUGACUUGGUUUUGAAAAUCAUAUAAUCUGAAAUAUCUCUAUUUAUGGUGUUGGAACUUGGAUAUCCACCAAUGUUGACAGAUCCUACUCCUAAGCACGAAGCAAAGUACCGCAAAAUGUCGAGGUAAAUAUUUGACAUGGAUUCUUGAACCUAAACCAUGCUUGGAAUUUUUUUGAUUUAGUUAGAGAUACAAAAUAGGAUGCUUCUGUCAAUGUGUAGGUAGUUAGAACUUUGAAAAUUUUUGGCUAAAACAUCCUUUGUUUAUAAGGUAUCAUGUACGAUUAUGUACAUUACACACAUAGUGUUGCAUAUUACCAUGAGUUUUGUUUUGCUUUUAUUUUAUGUUUGUUUUCUAGUUAAUUCAUUAAAUUUCUGAAGUUAUGCUGGGACUAAGGUUACUGAUAUAUAGUUGAUAUUAUUUUUUUCUCUUUCUCAUUUGUUGGUUUCUUGUAUGUCGUAGCCCCUUGUGUAGCUAACGCUCCCUCCCUGAUACAAAAUUCUUAAUAUCAAGUUGCACCGUAAAUUGGGUCCUUACUGAUGUUCUAUGUUUCAUGGACUCGAGCGAGCAUUGGAUAGGAGUAUAUGUCCAGAUGGGAGGUAUCUAUGAAUUCUGAAGACUGGACACACCUCAGAAGCUCCUUCAAAUUUGCUACUAAAUGCCGUGGCCCUAAGCUGUCCUCACCGAUGAAGUUCAAAAGUUGCUCAAUAUCCUGUUAAAAUAAGCAAGACAGACUAUGAAUUCGUUGCAAAUGGAGCAUUCUAAGAACACACACCGAAGACAAGUAAAAAAAUGUCACGCAUCUCAGACCAACUUUUUACCCACUGGCCCUGGGUGUUUACCUUAUACCAUGUCGUGGGACUGAAUCGCGAGAAUUGCUACUGUUAGCAGUGUGUGUGAAGCAGUGAUUUACUUCUGCCGGUGGUGUGAAGAAGCAAACCUUUUGCCAGAAAGGAAGAUUAACUAAACCUUAACACUUGGUACAACAGAUUAAGAACCACUAGCUACGCUCGUUAUGUUGCCAUGGGUGGAGCACACAUCCUUUGGAUCAUGUGCUAGAGAGUAUUAUACUCUCAACCAAUUGAUAUAACCUUUGAAAACAGCUUUUGCUAAAACUCAAGUAAUUUCUUGAAAGCUUUCUUUGGAUAUCAAACUUGUUCAGAGAUGUUUAUUCCUGAUAAGACGCUCGAUAACAAAUUGUUCCUCUAAACAAAUUGUAAAAAUCCAAUCAGCUCAGCAAGUUGCUAAGCACAAUUAGAUUUGUAUAUGAGCCUGUUUUCGGCAUGUUACCCUUCUGUGCUCAAA